UAAACCACACACAAACCGCCAUUCACAUACACACACCGUGACACACGCACACACACAACCCUCCGCCGGCGACACCGCGCCUCCGCCGACCACCGUCCUCCACCGAACGUGGAGGCCCUUCCUUGUAUCCCUCUAUGUCUCAACACUUCUCUCCCCCUACACACGCACACAUACAUUCAUCUCUGUAUAGCGUUGUCCCGCCGAUUCUGCCGCCGCCGUCACUGGACUUCGGAUCUCUUGGAUAGUCUUGUCUAUUCUCUACAAGCUUCUGGAUGAAAUAAUGGAGCAUAUCUGCAAAGUUGUGGGCAAUGUCGUGAAAAUUUGAGGUAGUACUAUUGCAUUAUUCUUUUCCGAGUGACAAUCUGCCACAAUCAUGAAUCUUGCAUGAGAUUAAAAAGAAUCAACGCCUUCACAACUACUUAUCAAUUUACGAUGGUUUCCUUCAUAUUUACCAUUUUGCUCGUGAUAAUAAAAUUUAUGUUUUGUUUGAUACUGUUUAAAUUUUGGAAAUGUUGUAUACACACUAUUUACAUCUACAAAAUUAGCGAAUUAGUGUUCAUGAGCAGAUUUAGUUGAAGGAUUAGUCGAUAAAGAGAUGACAGGUCGUUACGAUCAGAAUCCAUUUGCUGUAAGUGUUUCCUCUUCUUCUGGCAUCAAUUGUUAAUGUUUGGUGGGAUUAGCGUUUUUUGCUUUUAAUUAUUUGUGAAUGUAGUUAGUUUUGUGUACUCUUGAGAUGAAGAAUUUGAAUUUAAGAUAGGGUUUUUGAGGAUGAUCAGACUUAGGCUGACUAUGUGGCCUGAUCUAGUAAUUCAAGAGCUCUUGCUCAAAAAAUAUACGAAUUCGAGAGCUAAAUUUGAGAGGUUUCUAAUAGUACCUUCGGAUUGUAGUUUGAGAAAAAGAAAUGAAUGAUAAACAUACUCUAUUUACAUUUGGAGUAAUUCUUGUUAUGAAUGAUUGUGGAUUUGGAAAAUUUUGUAUCUUUUGUGACUCUAUUUAUGAAUAAUUUUCUUUAUAUGCUUCAAUUUGAGAACCAAGUAGUCUAUUGUGGUUAUUUUAGAUGAUAUUGUCUAUGGAAGAGAGUAAUGUUUUUUUACUUUGUAGCAAAUAGCAAAAUUUACUUUAUAAUCAAAGGUUUAUUGGUGGUUUCCUUUUCUCUUAAUUUGCCUCUCUUUGGAUGAACUGGCAGAAUCUUUUCUUUGGGGAUCUAUAUUAUUUGUGAGAUAUGAAAGUGAAGAUCUAUGUUGGGAGAACAUGCAGAAUCUGAGUAAUGAAAGUGAAGAUCUAUGUUAGGAGAACAUGCAAUAUUUGAAUGAUUGAAACAUAAUUUAUAAAUAUUUGAAGGAUAAAAAUAUAAAUUAGGGUGAUACAAUAAAAAUAUUUGAAUGAGAAAAAAGUAAAUACAAUAAAAUUAGGGUGAAAUUGUAAUAAUAAAUAUUUAUUGGGGUAUUUUAUAAAUUUUCGUUCAGAAGUUAGUGUAGUUUAAGAAUAUAUAUUGUGGCAUUUUUAAGUAACGUUACAAACCAUGUUUCAUGGCACUCUACCAGUGCAGUAAUACACAAUCUAUUCUUACACCUAACCUCUUACUACAUGUACCCAGUGCUGCACUUGCAUCAAGUGCCAUUAUAGAUGAAGUGUCAGUACAGUAAUUUUCUAGUGACAAUUUUAAGUUCCAUUACAAGCCAAUUUUCUAGUAGUGAAGACGAGGUCUUGAUAAUUAAUUUCUUAAUCAAUGUACAUUAGCAUUGAGCAUACGAUAUUGAUUAUCUACUACUUUGACAUACCAAUAGGUGCGGGUUUUACGUAACCCAACGAUCCUGAUAUCUUGGGUAGUGGCGAUUGAUAUAUAGCGGUGCUUGGAUUGUUAUUAUAUUGAAUCGUGCUCGAGAUUACAGUCUGGGAUACCAGUCAGAAGAUCUGAGGUCGAGUAUUCAAGAUCUUCACGUGGAGAAGACGCAAACCAUCUUCGAUUCUUAAGUGAAUCAACGAGGUAAAUUGCCUAACUUCGUAGUAAGCAUAUUUUAGGGAUUAUUUGUGCUAAAGCAUGUUUAAUUUCAAGUUGUGAGCAUGAUAUAUGUGAGAAUUACGCGAAUAGAGUUUAUCUAAAUAAUCUGCUAAAUAGAUCAGUGUUUAUGUGAUCCGUUAGAACGCACGCUUCCGCAGCAAACCCCUUCAUUAAGCUCAAAGGUGUUAACUAGGAGGUGUCUUUACAAUGAGACUGGUUAACUGGUUCGAAAGAAUCAGGCUCAACUGGUUAUUCCUACUGCCUUUAGUCCUCACUACCUUCUGUCAUUUCUCUCAUAGCAUCAGUGGUAGUGUAGUCACUCUAUUUUUUGUAAGUAGAAUGUGUUCUACUCUAGGUUUUUUAACUCACAUUUAGAGGGCUUCACAGAGGGAUUAGAUUAAAGCAUUUCCAUCGUUCUUACAUACUCCAAACUGACUUUGGUUUAUUAAAGGAUAGAAUCUCACAAAUCAACAUGCAUGAUACACUCGGAUUUUACACUAUUUUUUAGGCCCUUAUUUGGUCCGUUUUUAAUGUCAAAAUCACAAUUCAUGUCCAUAUUUUGCAUGUUUUUAUCUAUUUUGGUAUUUUGACGUGUUUUGUGAGAAGUGUGCAUAUUUGAGCCUAAAAAAAUAGCUAAAAGACGAAGUUGGAAAUCUGGAGCAUUCGAGACGCCCAGCGGUCCGCUGCAACCCAUACAACGACCGCUGGGGCCCACCGACCGCU